CAGACACUUAUACACUGGUAGCAGAGACAGAGGCAAAGACUUUUUCCUCUAAUUCCUGUUCUACUGCUUAAGCUACCCCCCAAGACCUCCCUUCAAGAAAUUUUAAGUAGUUCCUCUUGUUUAAGAAGUUGCCAAAUUGAAACACAUCAGCAAUCACGCAGCUGAGGAAGGCUGGACUCAGUUUUCCUGUUUUUACAAGAGGGCUACACGAUUCACAAGCACCCUUCUCUCUCUGACAUUCUAUUUAUCUGACUGAGUUGGGACUGGGGCUCACCCUAAGAAUUCUGCCUACCACUGUCGGGCAAAGCAAGCAAUAGUGAUGUGUGUUUAACUUUUGUGCAUAGAAGAUGGUUAGCAUUUCUACAGGAUGGUAAUAAUGACCAUUUAUUGAGUGCUUGCCUAGUGUUGACCUAAAAUAAAUA